rnacentral:rRNA from 1 species
GACGAACGCUGGCGGCGUGCUUAACACAUGCAAGUCGAGCGGUAAGGCCCUUUCGGGGGUACACGAGCGGCGAACGGGUGAGUAACACGUGGGUGACCUGCCCUUAGCUCUGGGAUAAGCCUGGGAAACUGGGUCUAAUACCGGAUAUGACUCCAUGACGCAUGUUGUGGGGUGGAAAGCCUUGUGCGGCUAGGGAUGGGCCCGCGGCCUAUCAGCUUGUUGGUGGGGUGAUGGCCUACCAAGGCGACGACGGGUAGCCGGCCUGAGAGGGCGACCGGCCACACUGGGACUGAGACACGGCCCAGACUCCUACGGGAGGCAGCAGUGGGGAAUCUUGUGCAAUGGGCGAAAGCCUGACGCAGCGACGCCGCGUGGGGAUGACGGCCUCGGUGUAAC